GUGAAGGACUUCCCUUGCUGUGUAGGAAUGGUUCCCAUGCAAGGGCAUGGUCGUCUGCCUGGAACAGAUACUGAAGGCAGGAGACGGGCAGCGGUACUGCAGCUCCUCUGGCAGUUUUGCAGCUACGUCAGGAAGCAGAAGAUGUGGAUUGG